rnacentral:rRNA from 1 species
GAUGAACGCUAGCGGCAGGCCUAAUACAUGCAAGUCGAACGAGAUUAAGAGGCUUGCUUCUUAUGAAAGUGGCGCACGGGUGCGUAACGCGUAUGCAACCUACCUUAAUCAGGGGGAUAGCCCGAAGAAAUUCGGAUUAAGACCGCAUAAAAACACAGGAUAGCAUUAUCCAAUGUUCAAAUAUUUAUAGGAUUAAGAUGGGCAUGCGUGUCAUUAGCUAGUUGGCGGGGUAACGGCCCACCAAGGCGACGAUGACUAGGGGAUCUGAGAGGAUGACCCCCCACACUGGUACUGAGACACGGACCAGACUCCUACGGGAGGCAGCAGUAAGGAAUAGUGGUCAAUGGAGGGAACUCUGAACCAGCCAUGCCGCGUGCAGGAAGACAGCCCUCUGGGUCGUAAACUGCUUUUAUUCGGGAAUAAACCUUUCUACGUGUAGGAAGCUGAAUGUACCGAAGGAAUAAGGAUCGGCUAACUCCGUG